rnacentral:rRNA from 1 species
ACUCAAAUGAAUAGACGGGGAGGCGCACAAGCAGUGGAGCGUGUUGUUUAAUUCGAUACAAAGCGAAAAACCUCACCAGGGUUUGACAUGUAACUGCACGUCCGGUGAAAGCCGGAUUCUUUCGAAGGUGUUACACAGAUGCUGCAUGGCUGUCGUCAGCUCGUGGCGUGAGCUGUCCCCUUAAGUGGGUAAACGAGCGCAACCCGCACCGUAUGUUAAAUAAUCCAUGCGGAACUGCCCCGAUUUAUCGGGGAGGAAGGCGCGGAUGAUGUCAAGUCAGCACGGCUCUUACACCCUGGGCUACAAACACCCUACAAUGGCGAAUAACAACGAGUUGCAAGUCGGUAACGGCAAGCUAAUCUCUAAAAUUUCGCCCCAGUUCAGAUCGAGGUCUGCAACCUGACCUCGUGAAGUCGGAAUUGCUAGUAAUCGCGGAUCAGCAGGCCGCGGUGAAUACGUUCUCGCCUCUUGCACACACCGCCCGU